rnacentral:rRNA from 1 species
GGUUAAGCGACUAAGCGUACACGGUGGAUGCCCUGGCAGUCAGAGGCGAUGAAGGACGUGCUAAUCUGCGAAAAGCGUCGGUAAGGUGAUAUGAACCGUUAUAACCGGCGAUGUCCGAAUGGGGAAACCCAGUGCAAUUCGUUGCACUAUCGUUAACUGAAUACAUAGGUUAACGAGGCGAACCGGGGGAACUGAAACAUCUAAGUACCCCGAGGAAAAGAAAUCAACCGAGAUUCCCCCAGUAGCGGCGAGCGAACGGGGAGCAGCCCAGAGUCUGAAUCAGCUUGUGUGUUAGUGGAACGGUCUGGAAAGUCCGACGGUACAGGGUGAUAGUCCCGUACACCAAAAUGCACAGGUUGUGAACUCGAAGAGUAGGGCGGGACACGUGGUAUCCUGUCUGAAUAUGGGGGGACCAUCCUCCAAGGCUAAAUACUCCUGACUGACCGAUAGUGAACCAGUACCGUGAGGGAAAGGCGAAAAGAACCCCGGCGAGGGGAGUGAAAAAGAACCUGAAACCGUGUACGUACAAGCAGUGGGAGCACCUUCGGGUGUGACUGCGUACCUUUUGUAUAAUGGGUCAGCGACUUAUAUUCUGUAGCAAGGUUAACCGUAUAGGGGAGCCGCAGGGAAACCGAGUCUUAACUGGGCGUUAAGUUGCAGGGUAUAGACCCGAAACCCGGUGAUCUAGCCAUGGGCAGGUUGAAGGUUGGGUAACACUAACUGGAGGACCGAACCGACUAAUGUUGAAAAAUUAGCGGAUGACUUGUGGCUGGGGGUGAAAGGCCAAUCAAACCGGGAGAUAGCUGGUUCUCCCCGAAAGCUAUUUAGGUAGCGCCUCGUGAAUUCAUCUUCGGGGGUAGAGCACUGUUUCGGCUAGGGGGUCAUCCCGACUUACCAACCCGAUGCAAACUACGAAUACCGAAGAAUGUUAUCACGGGAGACACACGGCGGGUGCUAACGUCCGUCGUGAAGAGGGAAACAACCCAGACCGCCAGCUAAGGUCCCAAAGUCAUGGUUAAGUGGGAAACGAUGUGGGAAGGCACAGACAGCCAGGAUGUUGGCUUAGAAGCAGCCAUCAUUUAAAGAAAGCGUAAUAGCUCACUGGUCGAGUCGGCCUGCGCGGAAGAUGUAACGGGGCUAAACCAUGCACCGAAGCUGCGGCAGCGACACUAUGUGUUGUUGGGUAGGGGAGCGUUCUGUAAGCCUGCGAAGGUGACCUGUGAGGGUUGCUGGAGGUAUCAGAAGUGCGAAUGCUGACAUAAGUAACGAUAAAGCGGGUGAAAAGCCCGCUCGCCGGAAGACCAAGGGUUCCUGUCCAACGUUAAUCGGGGCAGGGUGAGUCGACCCCUAAGGCGAGGCCGAAAGGCGUAGUCGAUGGGAAACAGGUUAAUAUUCCUGUACUUGGUGUUACUGCGAAGGGGGGACGGAGAAGGCUAUGUUAGCCGGGCGACGGUUGUCCCGGUUUAAGCAUGUAGGCUGGUUGUCCAGGCAAAUCCGGAUAAUCAAGGCUGAGGUGUGAUGACGAGGCACUACGGUGCUGAAGUAACAAAUGCCCUGCUUCCAGGAAAAGCCUCUAAGCAUCAGGUAACAUCAAAUCGUACCCCAAACCGACACAGGUGGUCAGGUAGAGAAUACCAAGGCGCUUGAGAGAACUCGGGUGAAGGAACUAGGCAAAAUGGUGCCGUAACUUCGGGAGAAGGCACGCUGGUGUGUAGGUGAAGCCCCUGCGGGUGGAGCUGAGACCAGUCGAAGAUACCAGCUGGCUGCAACUGUUUAUUAAAAACACAGCACUGUGCAAACACGAAAGUGGACGUAUACGGUGUGACGCCUGCCCGGUGCCGGAAGGUUAAUUGAUGGGGUUAUCCGUAAGGAGAAGCUCUUGAUCGAAGCCCCGGUAAACGGCGGCCGUAACUAUAACGGUCCUAAGGUAGCGAAAUUCCUUGUCGGGUAAGUUCCGACCUGCACGAAUGGCGUAAUGAUGGCCAGGCUGUCUCCACCCGAGACUCAGUGAAAUUGAACUCGCUGUGAAGAUGCAGUGUACCCGCGGCAAGACGGAAAGACCCCGUGAACCUUUACUAUAGCUUGACACUGAACAUUGAGCCUUGAUGUGUAGGAUAGGUGGGAGGCUUUGAAGCGUGGACGCCAGUCUGCGUGGAGCCAACCUUGAAAUACCACCCUUUAAUGUUUGAUGUUCUAACGUUGGCCCCUUAUCGGGGUUGCGGACAGUGUCUGGUGGGUAGUUUGACUGGGGCGGUCUCCUCCCAAAGCGUAACGGAGGAGCACGAAGGUUAGCUAAUCCUGGUCGGACAUCAGGAGGUUAGUGCAAUGGCAUAAGCUAGCUUGACUGCGAGCGUGACGGCGCGAGCAGGUGCGAAAGCAGGUCAUAGUGAUCCGGUGGUUCUGAAUGGAAGGGCCAUCGCUCAACGGAUAAAAGGUACUCCGGGGAUAACAGGCUGAUACCGCCCAAGAGUUCAUAUCGACGGCGGUGUUUGGCACCUCGAUGUCGGCUCAUCACAUCCUGGGGCUGAAGUAGGUCCCAAGGGUAUGGCUGUUCGCCAUUUAAAGUGGUACGCGAGCUGGGUUUAGAACGUCGUGAGACAGUUCGGUCCCUAUCUGCCGUGGGCGCUGGAGAAUUGAGGGGGGCUGCUCCUAGUACGAGAGGACCGGAGUGGACGCAUCACUGGUGUUCGGGUUGUCAUGCCAAUGGCACUGCCCGGUAGCUAAAUGCGGAAGAGAUAAGUGCUGAAAGCAUCUAAGCACGAAACUUGCCCCGAGAUGAGUUCUCCCUGAGACUUUAAGUCUCCUGAAGGAACGUUGAAGACGACGACGUUGAUAGGCCGGGUGUGUAAGCGCAGCGAUGCGUUGAGCUAACCGGUACUAAUGAACCGUGAGGCUUAACCUU